rnacentral:rRNA from 1 species
CAGCCGCCGCGGGAAUACAGAGGGUGCGAGCGUUAAUCGGAUUUACUGGGCGUAAAGCGUGCGUAGGCGGCUUCUUAAGUCGGAUGUGAAAUCCCUGAGCUUAACUUAGGAAUUGCAUUCGAUACUGGGAAGCUAGAGUAUGGGAGAGGAUGGUAGAAUUCCAGGUGUAGCGGUGAAAUGCGUAGAGAUCUGGAGGAAUACCGAUGGCGAAGGCAGCCAUCUGGCCUAAUACUGACGCUGAGGUACGAAAGCAUGGGGAGCAAACAGGAUUAGAUACCCCUGUAGUCACUGUCUCUUAUAC